rnacentral:rRNA from 1 species
CCUACGGGUGGCAGCAGUGAGGAAUAUUGGUCAAUGGCCGUAAGGCUGAACCAGCCAAGUAGCGUGAGGGAAGACUGCCCUAUGGGUUGUAAACCUCUUUUAUGCGGGGAUAAAGGUGUCCACGGGUGGGCGGAUGAGUGUACCCGAAGAAAAAGCAUCGGCUAACUCCGUGCCAGCAGCCGCGGUAAUACGGAGGAUGCGAGCGUUAUCCGGAUUUAUUGGGUUUAAAGGGUGCGUAGGCGGACAGUCAAGUCAGCGGUAAAAAUGCGGUGCUCAACGCCGUACAGCCGUUGAAACUGGCAGUCUUGAGUGGGCGAGAAGUAUGCGGAAUGCGUGGUGUAGCGGUGAAAUGCAUAGAUAUCACGCAGAACUCCGAUUGCGAAGGCAGCAUACCGGCGCCCGACUGACGCUGAGGCACGAAAGCGUGGGUAUCGAACAGGAUUAGAUACCCGAGUAGUC